AGUUUGAGUGACAUUAGUUUGUAGAUCUUCCCUCUCCAUCGAAAGCAUUACAAAGAAGAGGUACUUUGUGAUGUUCUUGAUAUGGAUGUUUGUCGUAUUUUACUUAGUACGCCUAGGCAGUUUGAUAACGAUAUCAUUAUUUCGAGGACAUGAUAAUGUGAUGGUGUUUACAUUAAGGAACACAUAAAAUUGCUAUAGCUCAUGUUUUGCACUUCGAUAAGAAUCCAUGAGGAAAGAAAUCUAGUUUCUUGGUGAUGACGUAGAGUC
rnacentral:lncRNA from 1 species